UGAUCGGGUUGGGAACCUGGUCUUGCAAGUAGAUCCGAAAAGGGAAUCCGGUGAAAAUCCGGAGCUGUACCCGCAGCUGUAAUCGCCUAAACGGUCGGACAAAACCACUGUCGAAAGACGGGAAGGGUCCGAACCUUCGCGUAAGUCAGAAAACCUAUCGGAGCUGCUUUCAAUUC
rnacentral:ncRNA from 2 species